rnacentral:rRNA from 1 species
GAUGAACGCUAGCGGCAGGCCUAACACAUGCAAGUCGAGGGGUAUAGGGAGCUUGCUUCCUAGAGACCGGCGCACGGGUGCGUAACGCGUAUGCAAUCUACCUUGUACAGGGGAAUAGCCCAGAGAAAUUUGGAUUAAUGCCCCAUAGUAUUAUUAAAUGGCAUCCUUUAAUAAUUAAAGUUCCAACGGUACAAGAUGAGCAUGCGUCCUAUUAGUUAGUUGGUGUGGUAACGGCAUACCAAGACGAUGAUAGGUAGGGGUCCUGAGAGGGAGAUCCCCCACACUGGUACUGAGACACGGACCAGACUCCUACGGGAGGCAGCAGUGAGGAAUAUUGGACAAUGGGCGCAAGCCUGAUCCAGCCAUGCCGCGUGCAGGAAGACGGUCCUAUGGAUUGUAAACUGCUUUUAUACAGGAAGAAACACUGGUUCGUGAACCAGCUUGACGGUACUGUAAGAAUAAGGAUCGGCUAACUCCGUGCCAGCAGCCGA